rnacentral:rRNA from 1 species
CCUACGGGAGGCAGCAGUGGGGAAUAUUGCACAAUGGGCGCAAGCCUGAUGCAGCAACGCCGCGUGAGGGACGACGGCCUUCGGGUUGUAAAUCUCUUUUAGUAGGGAAGAAGCGAAAGUGACGGUACCUGCAGAAAAAGCACCGGCUAACUACGUGCCAGCAGCCGCGGUAAUACGUAGGGUGCAAGCGUUAUCCGGAAUUAUUGGGCGUAAAGAGCUCGUAGGCGGUUUGUCGCGUCUGCUGUGAAAACUGGAGGCUCAACCUCCAGCCUGCAGUGGGUACGGGCAAACUAGAGUGCGGUAGGGGAGAUUGGAAUUCCUGGUGUAGCGGUGGAAUGCGCAGAUAUCAGGAGGAACACCGAUGGCGAAGGCAGAUCUCUGGGCCGUAACUGACGCUGAGGAGCGAAAGCAUGGGGAGCGAACAGGAUUAGAUACCCUGGUAGUCCAUGCCGUAAACGUUGGGCGCUAGAUGUGGGGACCAUUCCACGGUUUCCGUGUCGCAGCUAACGCAUUAAGCGCCCCGCCUGGGGAGUACGGCCGCAAGGCUAAAACUCAAAGGAAUUGACGG